rnacentral:misc_RNA from 1 species
UACGUCAUCCCGACCGUAUCGCUGGCAAAUAGGGACAAGGGUUGCGCUCGUUACGGGACUUAACCCAACAUUUCACAACACGAGCUGACGACAGCCAUGCAGCACCUGUCUGAGCGUUCCCGAAGGCACCAAGGUAUCUCUACCAAGUUCGCUCGAUGUCAAGGGUAGGUAAGGUUCUUCGCGUUGCAUCGAAUUAAACCACAUGCUCCACCGCUUGUGCGGGCCCCCGUCAAUUCAUUUGAGUUUUAGCCUUGCGGCCGUACUCCCCAGGCGGGGUGCUUAAUGCGUUAGCUUCGGCACGGAGAGGGUUGAAGACCUCCCCACACCUAGCACCCAACGUUUACGGCUGGGACUAC